rnacentral:rRNA from 1 species
GACGGACCACACGAACGUUAUUCGGAAUUACUGGGCUUAAAGGGUGCGUAGGCUGUGCAGUAAGUUGGGUGUGAAAUCCCUCGGCUUAACCGAGGAACUGCGCCCGAAACUACUGUGCUUGAGAAAGAUAGCGGUAAGCGGAACUUAGGGUGGAGCGGUGAAAUGCGUAGAUAUCCUAAGGAACACCGGUGGCGAAAGCGGCUUACUGGGUCUUUUCUGACGCUGAGGCACGAAAGCUAGGGUAGCGAACGGG